rnacentral:rRNA from 1 species
GAUCCUGGCUCAGGAUGAACGCUGGCGGCGUGCUUAACACAUGCAAGUCGAACGAAGCACUUAAGACAGAUUCUUCGGAUGAAGUUUUUUGUGACUGAGUGGCGGACGGGUGAGUAACGCGUGGGCAACCUGCCUCAUACAGGGGGAUAACAGUUAGAAAUGACUGCUAAUACCGCAUAAGCGCACAGGGUCGCAUGACCUGGUGUGAAAAACUCCGGUGGUAUGAGAUGGACCCGCG